rnacentral:rRNA from 1 species
UACGGAGGGUGCAAGCGUUAUCCGGAUUCACUGGGUUUAAAGGGUGCGUAGGCGGGCAGGUAAGUCCGUGGUGAAAUCUCUGAGCUUAACUCAGAAACUGCCAUGGAUACUAUUUGUCUUGAAUAUUGUGGAGGCAAGCGGAAUAUGUCAUGUAGCGGUGAAAUGCUUAGAUAUGACAUAGAACAUCUAUUGCGAAGGCAGCUCACUACGGGAAUAUUGACGCUGAGGCACGAAAGCGUGGGGAUCAAACAGG